UGUUUCUUUCCUCCCCACCCUCCUUUGCUUCCAGAUUGUCCCCAUCGAUCAAGAGCGGAAUAAUCAUCACAACCCAGAAACCCUCGACGCAAGAGUGCGACACGCUAUCUAAGCAUGAAGAGCCGCUCCACAACUCCCCCCUUGCACGUCCACGUGGAUGAAAAUACCCCUGUCCAUGUCCAUAUUAAAAAGGGUCAGAAAACGCCACCGUCGGCAAAAACCCAGCAGAGGCACAAGCAGAAAAUGAAAGGGGAUACCGUGAAUGUGCGCCGCAGUGUCCGAGUAAAAACUAAAGUCCCCUGGAUGCCCCCAGGCAAAACAUCUUGCAGAGAAUCAUCGUACAAGUGGGAGGUAGGCGACCCCCGCCCC